GUUAGCUCAGGGCUAAUCUUCCUCAAAAAACAAAAACAAAAAUAAUAAUCAUUCAAUUGAAAUGAUACAACAACUUCGCCAAAGGAUUAAAAAAAAUCAAGUAUCCACUCACAUUUGGAAGAAAGAAGAUUUCCAGUAAAAAUAGAAAGAAGCUACUCUCCAGGAAACUAAGGUCACUGCAGCUCAGGAAGCGCCGCGGGCACCAGCAGACAGCCAGGCAGGAGCCCUGCUCUCUCCUCCCGCUCCCGCGCCAUUCACUCUCCAUCACACACAGCCUGUCUUCAUUAUAUGUUCACGCGCAUAGGCCUUGAUUCCCUAAGAUAACUUCCCUAGAGAAUGAUACGUUUCUUUUAAAAAAAAUUAUUUAUUUCAAUGAGGUCACUUUGAAAUUUAUAUAGCAUCAUAUAAAUUUCAGAUGUCCAUCGUUAUAUUUUGACUUCUGUAUAGACUGCAUCACGUUCACCAACAAGAGUCUAGUUUCCAGUUGAUAUGCUUCUUGACAUAAGUGUCUGUAAUUUUUAUUUGUAGGCUCUACAACACUCUGCACAAAGUAAGUGCUCUAAAAUAUUGCAUUGAUAGGUUAAAAAUGAUAUUCCUUCUAUUUCAGAGACUUUUAAUUAGGAAUGAAAUCAUUAUAGAAAACUGACAUUUAAGAAUGACUUACGUGUGAUCUAG
rnacentral:lncRNA from 1 species